rnacentral:siRNA from 1 species
AUCACUUUCUUAAAUCGAGAGG